ensembl:lncRNA
GAUGAAAGUCUUUAUGUGAAAAUGUCUCUGAGGGGCCAUCAGGGGCCUCCUAAACUGGAGCGACUGGAGUCAGUCAUGAGCAAGGUCUCUGGCAGCUUGGACCCAGAGGAACUGGACUUAAGUGGCCAUACUGACCUCUGUGGAGAACCAAAGAACAUAUCCUUUCAAGCAAUAUACAGCUUUCUUCCAUUCAAGUCCCUGGACAGUGUCAAAUUUCUCUAAGAAGUGCCAAUCCUAGUACAAGUGACAGAAGUGGAGCGAUUCACAUCUACAAGGUCACUCAGUCAAAAGGAGGUCAUUCAAAGGCUGUAAACUGUUUCAUGGAGAACACAUCCCAAUGUUACCACGACGACCUGAUGCCCUCGUCAAGAAGGAGCAACUCAUCAGCAGAAAACUGCAACUUGAGGACUAUCUGAGGAAUAUAUUGAAAAGGCCUUUAUACAGGACACAUCCUGCUACAAUGGCUGGUGGUAAAGGACUCCUUUGUUCUCUACAUGAGGCCAGAGGAUGGCCAAGUAGGCACUGUGAUUCUGUACGAUAAGGGAUUUCACAUCAAAAUAUGGACCCAGGAGACGGGAGUCAGGCAUGGAGUCACGAUUGAGAAACUUUGCAGGGCACUUACUAUCAAGUGCAGGCUCAUUGGUGGGGGCACUCCAUAGAUGUUUUUUCUUAAAUAUUUGGACAGGACUUUCUGAGGGAAAACCAUCAUGGGUCUUUCACACCUGUUAGAGUAAACACUACAUCGAAAUGGUGAGAAAUUAUGCCGCAUUAAUCAUUUAAAUAUAUUAUGAGACUCCAAUUAAAACAAUAGAAGACGUGAUUCAUUAUUUCUAAAUAUAUUUAAAUUGUACAAUAUUUUUAGUUUAAUUUAAAGUAUUACAGUAAUCUCAGAAAUUCAGCUAGUCCCUCAUUCUUUGUUCUUUUUAUGUCGACAUGUGAGCAACACUUGCCAGAAGUUCCCUGACAGAGUUCUCCCUGAAGUUCUCUGUGAAGUUCCCUGACACAGUUCCUUAAAUGAAGCACCCUGUGCUACUUUUGAAGGUUUGUCAACGCAGCUGGAUACUUUGAUGCCAUAGCUGUUUCUUGGAAGGAGCAAAAGAGGAAAUCUUCAUCACAGCCUGGUGGUACAGAUUAAAAUCAGUUUCAAUUACUCCCCAUUUGCCUAGCUUUUACAAUUCUGUGAGAGCUUAUGUCGCACCUUUUAAUGCACCAUUUUUUUGUACCAUUGCUAUUUUUUGUGACUGCAAUGUGAUUUGAGAUGUUUUACAAAAGGAGAAGAAUACAUAAAUGGUUUUUUAGUACUGUGGUCUCAUUGGCUAAUCAUUUUAAUGAUACUGAACCAAGCAAGUAUAUAUUUUUAAAGGAAUAGUUCAUUAGCAAG